rnacentral:rRNA from 1 species
UGGGGAAUAUUGGACAAUGGGCGAAAGCCUGAUCCAGCCAUGCCGCGUGUGUGAAGAAGGUCUUCGGAUUGUAAAGCACUUUAAGUUGGGAGGAAGGGCAGUAAGCGAAUACCUUGCUGUUUUGACGUUACCGACAGAAUAAGCACCGGCUAACUCUGUGCCAGCAGCCGCGGUAAUACAGAGGGUGCAAGCGUUAAUCGGAAUUACUGGGCGCAAAGCGCGCGUAGGUGGUUCGUUAAGUUGAAUGUGAAAGCCCCGGGCUCAACCUGGGAACUGCAUCCAAAACUGGCGGGCUAGAGUAGGGCAGAGGGUGGUGGAAUUUCCUGUGUAGCGGUGAAAUGCGUAGAUAUAGGAAGGAACACCAGUGGCGAAGGCGACCACCUGGGCUCAUACUGACACUGAGGUGCGAAAGCGUGGGGAGCAAACAGG